rnacentral:tRNA from 1 species
GCGCGCUUCUGCGGUUCGUUUCAUCAUCUGAUUCGGGACCAGAGGGGCGAAGGUUCGAACCCUUCGGUCUCGCGCA